UUCAGGGCUAUCAAUUGUUUUUGUCACUGGCAGUCUUUGAAAUACAAUCUUGCUCUGUGGCCUUUACUGACAAGUUGGCUUUUACUACAUAUGUGGCACUGACACUUCUUUAAUUAAUGCACCAGUCAAUGUAAACCCCCCAACCAGGGAGGGGCAGGGAUUUUGACUUGGAGGGGUAUUAAAAAAGCGAAAUUGUCCCCGCCCCCAGGGAUGUCAAUGUCCCCUGCAUGUCUCUUAACCCCAGGAAAAUAGUUUUGUAUAAUCAUAGAUCAGCAAUAGAAAAUCAAAUUCAUUUAUGUUGUUGUAUUUAAACUUUUCUUGUCAAGAAAACUAAAACAGCAACACAGGAUAUAUAUGUUAACCACUGUCCAAGUCUCCCAUCAUCGGGGACAAAUUUAUAAUCAAAACUGACCACUUUCCCCGUUAAACCUUCCGCCCCUCCCCGGUUGGGGGCAGGGAUUUACAUUGACUGGUGCAUAACUAGAUGAUUGCAUGAAGCAUUGCAUGGAAGUUGAUUUAUAAUUAGUUUAUGAAUAAACUCACACUUUCAUUAUAAUGGUUGAUCAAAUAUAUCAUAUGCAUUUGAUUGGUGGAUGGUCCCUUAAUGGUAAUGGUGGUCAAAUCUGAACCUAUAUAAUGUCAAUAUGAUUUGAACCUAUAUAAUGUCAAUAUACUGGAAAAGUAUCAAAUUAAAUUUUAAUUGUCAAUGUUGUUGAAAGUAAAUAAAUCAAACAAUUCUGUUUGUUUCAACUAACUAGUUCACUAUCACUUUGGUUUUCAAAUCAAAGAAUCUUUAACCUGGUUGAGCUUUUGAAAAAGUAGCUGAUUGAUUGAACGCAAGAUUAUUUUACUCUGUCUAACGCCAGACAAUUUCACUCGUCAAGGGGAAAGUGCUGCCACUCAGUGAACUCAAUCAGAGCUCAAUGAGCAGCAGCACUCUCCCUCG